rnacentral:tRNA from 1 species
GCGGUCGUCGUCCAGCCUGGCAGGACGUCAGCUUCCCAAGCUGAAGAUCGCGGGUUCAAGUCCCGCCGACCGCA